AGGGUUUGAUUAUGGCUCAGGACGAACGCUGGCGGCGUGCCUAACACAUGCAAGUCGAGCGGGAAGUUCGACACGGAGGCUUCGGCCGAAGUGUCGAGUGGAGAGCGGCGGACGGGUGAGUAACGCGUGAGUAACCUGCCUACCAGAGGGGGAUAACACAUAGAAAUGUGUGCUAAUACCGCAUGAAACCAUAGUAUCGCAUGGUACAAUGGUCAAAGAUUUAUCGCUGGUAGAUGGACUCGCGUCUGAUUAGCUAGUUGGAGGGGUAACGGCCCACCAAGGCGACGAUCAGUAGCCGAACUGAGAGGUUGAUCGGCCACAUUGGGACUGAGACACGGCCCAG
rnacentral:rRNA from 1 species